AAACGGUCGCUGAUGACAAAAAAAACGAAGACAAAGUAAAGUUGCCUGUUCUCUCUCCUCAUUCCUUCCUCUCCUUAACCGGUAAACCCUAAUCCUUCAUCUCUCUCCUCUUCAGAUCUGCUCCUUCCUCCUUUCUCCUUCCUCCUUCCUCCUCCCUCUCAAUCCACCGGAGCAACGGACGCUUAUUGAAGAGAUAGUCAGAUAGAGACUGAGGAGAGAGAAAGUGAAACAAUAAAAAAAAAAGAAUCCAAAAAAAGGGUUUCUUCAACUCUCCAUCUCUAAGAAGCAGAGGAUGCCCGAGGGUUGCUCAAAGCUGCCAUUAGGGAUCCAGACCCUGUUGUUUUUCUAGAAAAUGAGCUUUUAUAUGGUGAAUCUUUUCCUGUUGCAGAUGAAGUUCUUGACGCUAAUUUCACCCUUCCAAUUGGGAAAGCAAAGGUAGAACGACAAGGGAAGGAUGUCACAAUCACUUCUUUCUCUAAGAUGGUGGGCUACGCUCUCAAGGUGCGUUAUUUUUAUAACUGAUUUCCCUUCAGUUUAAUACACUGUUUUUUAUAUUCUUUCAUCUUAUUUUUAUAAGAUGGAGAUGCUCCAAGUCACAUUUCAGAAAGAAGCAAUUGAUUCUAUAACUGCAUCCAAGGCAAGAAAUGGAGAUGCUCCCGUUAGGUUAUACAUACACGAGCCCGUUAUUUAUCUGAUGAUGCAGCAAGCCAUCAAGGGAAGUGACUUACGAGAGUUGAAUAUAGAAUAUUUGAAGAAAUGUGACUUUGAAGCUUUAGUUGUUAGAGCAUACUUCUUUGUGUUCAUCUUCAAUCUUGCUUCUGAUUUUUAGGGAGUUUUGUGUAAAUUAGUUAUUUAGUUUUCAAAGUACUCUGACCAUUAUUGUGGAAUGGCAAAUUUUUUUCUGUUUACAAUUUUGCUUUGGGAUAUUAAUUUGUUCUUCCAUCCUUUUCUUCUUGGUUGAAAUAAUUUCAGUGCGUUGGAUUCUCUAA